CAGUAUGGAGAAGAAAUAGUCUACGAAUGUGAAGGAGGUUUUGGGACUAAUGGAUCUGCAUCUAUAAAGUGUUUAGGAGGAAAAUGGUCUCAUCCACCAGAAUGCAUAAAAACGGAUUGUUUUGGCCUACCUGACUUUGAUAUUGCCAUACCCAUAGGCCCGAAGAAGGACUCAUAUAGGUCAGAAGAAAAAGUGACUUAUAUGUGUCCAAAUAAUUACCAAUUGGAUGGACCCAAUUUUAUACAGUGUAUUAAAAGCCAAUGGAUAGGAAAGCCAACAUGCAAAGAUAUUUCCUGUGAGAAUCCACCCAAAGUGGAAAAUGCUAUUAUACUAAAUGAGAAGGCUAGGUAUCUACCUGAUGAGACUGCACGUUAUAAAUGCAUCAAACCUUUUGAACUGUUUGGGGAAGUAGAAGUGACAUG